AUUGAACGCUGGCGGCAGGCUUAACACAUGCAAGUCGAGCGGAGAUGAGGUGCUUGCACCUUAUCUUAGCGGCGGACGGGUGAGUAAUGCUUAGGAAUCUGCCUAUUAGUGGGGGACAACAUUCCGAAAGGAAUGCUAAUAACGCAUACGCCCUACGGGGGAAAGCAGGGGAACUUCGGACCUUGCGCUAAUAGAUGAGCCUAAGUCGGAUUAGCUAGUUGGUGGGGUAAAGGCCUACCAAGGCGACGAUCUGUAGCGGGUCUGAGAGGAUGAUCCGCCACGCUGGGACUGAGACACGGCCCAGACUCCUACGGGAGGCAGCAGUGGGGAAUAUUGGACAAUGGGCGGAAGCCUGAUCCAGCCAUGCCGCGUGUGUGAAGAAGGCCUUUUGGUUGUAAAGCACUUUAAGCGAGGAGGAGGCUACCUGGAUUAAUACUCUAGGAUAGUGGACGUUACUCGCAGAAUAAGCACCGGCUAACUCUGUGCCAGCCGCCGCCGUAACAC
rnacentral:rRNA from 1 species